ensembl:lncRNA
GGGGUCUCCACCUCUUUGACCCAGUCAUGUGACCCAGUCAUGUGACCCAGUCAUGUGACUGAGGUAGGCUAUAGGAGCAGGGAUGUAACCAAGUCAUCAGGUGGGAGAGGGUCAUUUCUCCUCAAAGAGUGGACUUCUUGGCUUCCCUCUUUCACUCUGGAGCAUUCUCUUGGCUGCUGCUUCCUGUUUAGGCCGUGUUGGAGUUCAGAGGUUGUACUGAUCGCCCACAGAGCCAAGAGCUUCUCACUCUCUGUCUCUCUCUCUCUCUCUCUCUCUCUCUCUCUCUCUCUCUCUCUCUCUCGCUCUCUCUCUCUCUGUCUCUGUCUCUGUCUCUGUCUCUCUCUCUGCAAACAAUAUCCUCCUCACCCAUGCCAAGUGGUGCCGGCUCAUUGCUCCGGCCAAGAAGUGUCGCGUCAGCAGAAAAAGUGCAAUAACAAACUUGUGAAAACACUCCAGGAGGGACUACUUUCCGCCAUCUGAGUUGCUGAGGCGCAAACAUCCAAUUCAUCCGAUUCUCGGGGCCAUCCUGACAGAGACGGGGAGAAUCUAUACCGCCUGCAAACACCCCACCCCACCCCAC